rnacentral:rRNA from 1 species
CGUAGGUGGCAAGCGUUGUCCGGAGUUACUGGGUGUAAAGGGCGUGUAGGCGGGUGAUCUAGUCAGAUGUGAAAUUCCAUGGCUCAACUGUGGCGCUGCAUCUGAAACUGGUCAUCUUGAGUGAUGGAGAGGAAAGCGGAAUUCCUAGUGUAGCGGUGAAAUGCGUAGAUAUUAGGAGGAACACCAGUGGCGAAGGCGGCUUUCUGGACAUUAACUGACGCUGAGGCGCGAAAGCGUGGGGAGCAAACAGGAUUAGAUACCCUGGUAGUCCACGCUGUAAACGAUGGAUACUAGGUGUAGGAGAUAUCGACCCCUUCUGUGCCGGAGUUAACACAAUAAGUAUCCCACCUGGGGAGUACGGCCGCAAGGUUG